CCUACGGGCGGCAGCAGUCGAGAAUCAUUCACAAUGGGGGAAACCCUGAUGGUGCGACGCCGCGUGGGGGAAUGAAGGUCUUCGGAUUGUAAACCCCUGUCAUGUGGGAGCAAAUUAAAAAGAUAGUACCACAAGAGGAAGAGACGGCUAACUCUGUGCCAGCAGCCGCGGGAAUACAGAGGUCUCAAGCGUUGUUCGGAAUCACUGGGCGUAAAGCGUGCGUAGGCUGUUUCGUAAGUCGUGUGUGAAAGGCGCGGGCUCAACCCGCGGACGGCACAUGAUACUGCGGGACUAGAGUAAUGGAGGGGGAACCGGAAUUCUCGGUGUAGCAGUGAAAUGCGUAGAUAUCGAGAGGAACACUCGUGGCGAAGGCGGGUUCCUGGACAUUAACUGACGCUGAGGCACGAAGGCCAGGGGAGCGAAAGGGAUUAGAUACCCGAGUAGUC
rnacentral:rRNA from 1 species